rnacentral:rRNA from 1 species
GACGAACGCUGGCGGCGUGCUUAACACAUGCAAGUCGAACGAAAAUACCAAGCUUGCUUGGUUGAUUAGUGGCGAACGGGUGGGUAACACGUGAGUAACCUGCCCCUUACUUUCCUGGAUAACUGCUCGAAAGGGUAGCUAAUACGGGAUAUUCUGACCAGCCUGCAUGGGUUGGUUUGGAAAGGUUGUUUUUCUGGUAAGGGAUGGGCUCGCGGCCUAUCAGCUUGUUGGUGGGGUGAUGGCCUACCAAGGCUUUGACGGGUAGCCGGCCUGAGAGGGUGGACGGUCACACUGGGACUGAGAUACGGCCCAGACGCCUACGGGAGGCAGCAGUGGGGAAUAUUGCACAAUGGGCGCAAGCCUGAUGCAGCGACGCCGCGUGAGGGAGGAAGGCCUUCGGGUUGUAAACCUCUUUCGUCAGGGAACAAGGCACUGCUUUUGUGGUGGUGUUGAGGGUACCUGGAUAAGAAGCGCCGGCUAACUACGUG